GGAGCAGAGCGGAUGAUCGCCGGUCCGGGGAACCGGAGCGGAGGAAAGUCCGAACUCCACAGGGCAGGAUGGUCGCUAACGGCGACUGGGGGCGACCCUAAGGAAAGUGCCACAGAAAAGAUACCGCCCCUCCGCUUCAAGAGGGGUAAGGGUGAAAAGGCGAGGUAAGAGCUCACCAGUUUCCCGGGUGACCGGGAAAGCUUGGUAAACCCCAUCCGGAGCAAGACCAAAUAGGAGAACGGGGCGGCCCGCCCCCAUGUUCUCGGGUUGUGUCGCUUGAGGCGGCCGGCAACGACCGUCCCAGAGGAAUGAUCAUCGCCGUCCCCCGGGCGACCGGGAGGCGGAACAGAAUUCGGCUUACGAUCUGCUCUGACA
rnacentral:RNase_P_RNA from 1 species